ACACAGCACGAUCGAUCUACGUCGGCGGCGGCGGGUCCCUCUCCUCCGACGAGCAGAGGCGGCCGCAUGGGACACAGCGGGCUCGGCCGCGCCGAGCGCAGGCUCGCUUGACGUGGGAAUCAUAUUCCUCGAAAACAGAUGCAGGGAUCACUGCGGUUGCCUCAGGUUCUAUCGUUGAACAGUCGACUAUGUCUCUGUUAUCAGUGUAUAUCCACAGGUCGACGGAGUUGACUCUCUUGAGGCUGACGCGACAGAAUGGACAGGACUGGGAUCUUGAUCUCCUACAGGGAGCAAAGGAGGGGUAAUCUCAUACUCAAGCCAGUUGAAGUCCUCCAUUAACACAGCGAGGACGAGGUCGAGCGCAUCGUGGCCGUUUGAGGAGGAGAAGCAGCGGGCGGCGGGGCUGAGGAUGGUGCCGACGAGCCGAAAGAAGCGGGGGAGCAUGUCAGGCAGGAAGGCAGCGGGAACACGGUGGCCCGGUCGACGUGGGGGGUAGAAGAAAAGGCGCUCGAAGGAGUCCAUGAAGAGCCAGGCGAGGUCGUCGAAGAAGUGAUGGGGAGCUCCGAAGACGGGUGUCCUCGCCGCCGGCGCCACGUGGAUCUGCUCCAGCAAGUGCACCUCUGCUUCCGCCAUGGGUUCACUGGCUUUGCUUGCUUGGGAAACCAAAGCAACCUCUUUUACCACUCAAGUUGGAGGGAAUCCAGUUGUCCUCAACACUUCAGAAUUGAUUUCCCGAAAGGAGUUCCUUGCCAGUUUCGGUUCCUUUCAUGCACUAUUGUUGUUUAAACUAUGCUCAUAAAAGCCUAAUAAGAAUCGACUAAAUGAAUCGGGGAGUAGCUGAGUCUUCAUAUGAAGAGCAAACAUGUCAUAGUUAUCCAUGUAUUUUAUGUUUUUA